rnacentral:rRNA from 1 species
GACGAACGCUGGCGGCGUGCUUAACACAUGCAAGUCGAACGGAGUGGCGAACGGGGGAGUCACACGUGGGUGAUCUGCCUUGCACUUCGGGAUAAGCUUGGGAAACUGGGUCUAAUACCGGAUAGUGCAAGAUGAGCUCGCGGCCCAUUAGCUUGUUGGGGGGGUAAUGGCCUACCAAGGCGUCGACGGGUAGCCGGCCGGAGAGGGUGUACGGCCACAUGGGGACUGAGAUACGGACCAGACUCCUACGUGAGGCAGCAGUGGGGAAUAUUGCACAAUGGGCGGGAGCCUGAUGCAGCGACGCCGCGUGGGGGAUGAAGGUCUUCGGGUUGUAAACUCCUUUCGACAGGGACGCGGUACCUGUAUAAGAAGCACCGGCUAACUACGUGCCAGCAGCCGCGGUAAUAC